rnacentral:rRNA from 1 species
AGUGGGGCUACACACGUCAUACAAUGGCUGGUACAAAGGGUUGCAACCGCGAGGGGAGCCAAUCCCAUAAAGCCAGUCGUAGUCCGGAUCGUAGUCUGCAACUCGACUACGUGAAGUCGGAAUCGCUAGUAAUCGUGGAUCAGAAUGUCACGGUGAAUACGUUCCCGGGUCUU